UAGGGAAUCUUCGGCAAUGGACGAAAGUCUGACCGAGCAACGCCGCGUGAGUGAAGAAGGUUUUCGGAUCGUAAAACUCUGUUGUUAGAGAAGAACAAGGACGUUAGUAACUGAACGUCCCCUGACGGUAUCUAACCAGAAAGCCACGGCUAACUACGUGCCAGCAGCCGCGGUAAUACGUAGGUGGCAAGCGUUGUCCGGAUUUAUUGGGCGUAAAGCGAGCGCAGGCGGUUUCUUAAGUCUGAUGUGAAAGCCCCCGGCUCAACCGGGGAGGGUCAUUGGAAACUGGGAGACUGGAGUGCAGAAGGGGGGAGUGGAAUUCCAUGUGUAGCGGUGAAAUGCGUAGAUAUAUGGAGGAACACCAGUGGCGAAGGCGGCUCUCUGGUCUGUAACUGACGCUGAGGCUCGAAAGCGUGGGGAGCAAACAGG
rnacentral:rRNA from 1 species